GGUGAACGCUGGCGGCGUGCUUAAGACAUGCAAGUCGAACGGCAGUCUUCGGACUGUAGUGGCGCACGGGUGAGUAACGCGUAACUGACCUACCCCAAAGUCGCGGAUAACGAUUCGACAGAAGCGCUAAUACGUGAUGUGCUGUCAGAUUGUUUUCUGCCAGUAAACAUUGAGUGCUUUGGGAUGGGGUUGCGUUCCAUCAGCUAGUUGGUGGGGUAAAGGCCCACCAAGGCGACGACGGAUAGCCGGCCUGAGAGGGUGGCCGGCCACAGGGGCACUGAGACACGGGUCCCACUCCUACGGGAGGCAGCAGUUAGGAAUCCUCCACAAUGGGCGAAAGCCUGAUGGAGCGACGCCGCGUGAGGGAUGAGGGUCUUCGGAUCGUAAACCUCUGAAUCAGGGACGAAAGACACUUCGGUGGAUGACGGUACCUGAGUAAUAGCACCGGCUAGCUCCGUGCCAGCAGCCGCGGUAAAAC
rnacentral:rRNA from 1 species